GGGGAUGUGGCUUAGUAGUAGAGUGCUUGCUUAGCAUGUAAUAGGCCCUGGGUUUAAUUCUCAGCACCCA
rnacentral:tRNA from 1 species